AUGAAAUUAUUGAAACAUCGUGGUAUACCAGAUGGUUUGAUUAUAAGCCACCUCCCUUUUGGUCCAACAGCUUAUCUCAACUGCUCAAUUUGGUGCAGGAUGUUUUGUGAUGCUACAUAGUGGCGAAGCCACGUGAGGACGAGGAGUGGUGACCGCCCCUCCCCUCGCCGGAAAACACAGCUGAAGCCGAGGUUUCGCCCCUCCCCUCACCGGAAAACCCAGCCCCUCCAUCUCUGUUUUGGCACCGGUGAACUGGUUUCUGCUGCGUGCAGCAGCACUGGGUUCUUUUUUUUCCUUUUAAAUUAAUAAAAAAUUUAAAAUCUGGCCCGCAUGUCCCAAAGUUAGGCCCCUCCAUGUCUCAUGUCUGUUUCAAAUUAGUGCCCCUCCACGUGAAACUUUCAAUGUUUGAAAAAAACCAAAAAAAUAUAUAUGUUUUGGGGGGACCGCGUGGCAUGUCCCCCAUUCCUUCACUUAGUCAGCCCGCGUGUCAUGCUUUACCAUUCCAAAUUUCUCCCUUCCCCAAUCAGAGAGAGAGAGAGUGCAAAGCUUCUCCCAAAAUCUCAGCAGCCUGAGCCUGCAGCCAACGCCCGCAGCCAACGCCCAACCCCAACGGAACGGAAAAUAAAUCCCCAUUGGCUGAUUUCUGUUGGCUUUUUGCUGCUAACACUAGCCACUCCAGCCGCUAAGCCGACUUCUAGCCUUCAAUUUCAAAGUUACGUAAUGGAACGGUACUAUAAGAAACAAUGCUUAAAUCCUCCUUCAAACAUUUCGGGUAGUCCUUCUCGUUCAAAUAUUCCAAGUAGUCAUCUUCCUCCUCCUUCAAAUA
rnacentral:sRNA from 1 species